rnacentral:ncRNA from 1 species
GAAUUCUAUUCCCCUUAGCAAUCUCGUACAAAUAGGCUCACCUUCACCCCGAUGAAGCUUGAGUGAAACUAAGUGGAGGUCCGAACUAACUGAUGUUGAAGAAUCAACGGAUGAGUUGUGAUUCGGGGUGAAAUGCCACUCAAACGACCCAGAGCUAGCUGGUUCUCCCCAAAAUGCGUUGAGGCGCAACAAUUGAUUGUACAUCUAAUGUAAAGCACUGUUUCGGUGCCGGCUAUGAGAGCGAUGCCAAAUUGAGGCAAACUCUGAAUUCUAGAUAUGACCCCAAAAUACAAAUAAUAGGGGUUAAGGUUAGCCAGUGAGACGAUGGGGAUAAGCUUCAUCAUCGAGAGGAAAGCGGCCCUAGUCAUCCGCUAAGGCCCCAAAAUAACAGCUCAGUGAGAAACAGGGACAGAACUAGUAAUGGGCUAGAGGGGGCUCCAGCCCGGGGUAAAUUUGGGAAAAAAAAAUUAGGUAUUAGUAUGUUGGGACAUAAGGGGUAUUAAUAAUAUAGCCCAUGGUAAACUAGUAAUUUU